rnacentral:lncRNA from 1 species
CCCAGUCCUAAUCCAAUUAGGACUCUAGGAAUCCUAUCCGAAGUAGGAUUUGUGUUUAAGUCCAAUUAAUUAAUUCCCUUUGUUCCUUCUUCAACUUCUUAUCAAUCAAAUUGAUUACUUGUGAUUCCUAAUCACGAUUUCAACCAUCGGAUCGGUCAAUACUUCUAGUGUGUGUGACCCCAUAGGUUCUAUUCUGACUGGUAGUGAGAUAUAUUAUGAUCUCUAUCACAAUAUCAUUGAAAACUCCUUUCAAUGGGUUGGAAUGAUUCCAACUCAACUCAUUAGGGUUUAUCGAUCAUCAAGAUAAUCCCUAUGAGUCCCACC